rnacentral:rRNA from 1 species
UACGGAGGGGGCGAGCGUUAUUCGGAAUUAUUGGGCGUAAAGGGCGCGUAGGCGGCCCGGUAAGUCAAAGGUGAAAUCCCUCGGCUCAACUGAGGAACUGCCUUUGAAACUGUCGGGCUUGAGGCCGGGAGGGGGUAGCGGAAUUCCCAGUGUAGCGGUGAAAUGCGUAGAUAUUGGGAGGAACACCGGUGGCGAAGGCGGCUACCUGGACCGGUUCUGACGGCUGAUGCGCGAAAGCGUGGGUAGCAAACAGGG